GACAGAGGGUGCAAACGUUGUUCGGAAUUACUGGGCGUAAAGCGCGUGUAGGCGGCCAUCUAAGUCGGGCGUGAAAUCCCACGGCUCAACCCGUGGAAGUGCACUCGAAAACUGGAUGGCUAGAGUCCUGGAGAGGAAGGUGGAAUGCUUGGUGUAGGAGGUGAAAUUCGUAGAUAUCAAGCGGAACACCGGUGGCGAAGGCG
rnacentral:rRNA from 1 species